UACCAGCACCCCGAGUGGUCGGGACGAUUAUUGGGCCUAAAGCAUCCGUAGCCGGUUUUACAAGUCCCCCGUUAAAUCCGGCUGCUUAACAGAUGGGCUGCGGAGGAUACUAUAAGACUAGGAGGCAGGAGAGGCAAGCGGUACUCAGUGGGUAGGGGUAAAAUCCGUUGAUCCAUUGAAGACCACCAGUGGCGAAGGCGGCUUGCCAGAAUGCGCUCGACGGUGAGGGAUGAAAGCUGGGGGAGCAAACCGG
rnacentral:rRNA from 1 species